rnacentral:tRNA from 1 species
GGUCACAUGGCCCAAUGGCAAGGCGCUUGACUACGAAUCAAGAGAUUGCAGGUUCGAAUCCUGCUGUGAUCA